AUCGAACGCUGGCGGCAGGCCUAACACAUGCAAGUCGAACGAGUGGCGGACGGGCGAGCAAUGUCUGGGAAACUCCCUGCUGGAGGGGGAUAACAAUUGGAAACGGUAGUUAUAACGGCAUACCAUAGGAGGAGUACAGAUGGGAUUAGCUGCUUGGUGGGGUAACGGGGCACCAAGGCGACGAUACCUAGUUGGUCGUAGGGGAUGUCCAGCCACCCUGGAACUGGGAACCGGUACAGACUCCUACGUGAGGCAGCAGUGGGGAAUAUUGGACAAUGGGCGCAAGCCUGAUGCCGCCAGGCCGCGUGUAUGAGGAAGGCCUUCGUGUUGUAAAGUACUUUCAGCGGGGAGGCGUUGCCCGCAGAAGAAGCAGCGGCUAACUCCGUGCCAGCAGCCGGGGUAUUA
rnacentral:rRNA from 1 species